UACAUGAAGUCGGAAUCGCUAGUAAUCGCGGAUCAGCAUGCCGCGGUGAAUACGUUCCCGGGCCUUGUACACACCGCCCGUCACACCAUGAGAGUUGGAGAUACCCGAAGCCUAUGAGCUAACUUUUAGAGGCAGUAGUCGAAGGUAGAAUCAAUGAUUGGGGUGAAGUCGUAACAAGGUAGC
rnacentral:rRNA from 1 species